rnacentral:rRNA from 1 species
UUUUGUAUAAUGGGUCAGCGACUUACAUUUUGUAGCGAGGUUAACCGUAUAGGGGAGCCGUAGGGAAACCGAGUCUUAACUGGGCGUCUAGUUGCAAGGUGUAGACCCGAAACCGGGUGAUCUAGCCAUGGGCAGGUUGAAGGUUGAGUAACAUCAACUGGAGGACCGAACCCACUAACGUUGCAAAGUUAGGGGAUGACCUGUGGCUGGGGGUGAAAGGCCAAUCAAACUCGGAGAUAGCUGGUUCUCCCCGAAAGCUAUUUAGGUAGCGCCUCGGACGAAUACUACUGGGGGUAGAGCACUGUUUGGGCUAGGGGGUCAUCCCGACUUACCAACCCCAUGCAAACUCCGAAUACCAGUAAGUAAUAUCCGGGAGACACACGGCGGGUGCUAACGUCCGUCGUGAAGAGGGAAACAACCCAGACCGCCGGCUAAGGUCCCAAAGUUCUGGUUAAGUGGGAAACGAUGUGGGAAGGCUCAGACAGCUAGGAUGUUGGCUUAGAAGCAGCCAUCAUUUAAAGAAAGCGUAAUAGCUCACUAGUCGAGUCGGCCUGCGCGGAAGAUGUAACGGGGCUCAAACCAGGCACCGAAGCCGCGGAUUCAC